UACGAAGGUCCCAAGCGUUAUCCGGAUUUAUUGGGUUUAAAGGGUGCGUAGGCGGAUUAUUAAGUCAGUGGUGAAAGCUCCAUGCCUAACAUGGAAAAUGCCAUUGAUACUGAUGAUCUUGAGUACAUUUGAAGUGGGCGGAAUGUGUCAUGUAGCGGUGAAAUGCUUAGAUAUGACACAGAACACCGAUUGCGUAAGCAGCUCACUAAACUGUAACUGACGCUGAGGCACGAAAGCGCGGGGAGCAAACAGG
rnacentral:rRNA from 1 species